rnacentral:rRNA from 1 species
UACGGAGGAUGCGAGCGUUAUCCGGAAUCAUUGGGUUUAAAGGGUCCGUAGGCGGUUUAAUAAGUCAGUGGUGAAAUCUGGUCGCUCAACGAUCAAACUGCCAUUGAUACUGUUAGACUUGAAUAAUUGUGAAGUAACUAGAAUAUGUAGUGUAGCGGUGAAAUGCUUAGAUAUUACAUGGAAUACCAAUUGCGAAGGCAGGUUACUAACAAUUUAUUGACGCUGAUGGACGAAAGCGUGGGGAGCGAACAGGAUUAGAUACCCUGGUAGUCCACGCCGUAAACGAUGGAUACUAGCUGUUCGGAGUGAUCUGAGUGGCUAAGCGAAAGUGAUAAGUAUCCCACCUGGGGAGUACGCACGCAAGUGUGAAACUCAAAGGAAUUGACGGGGGCCCGCACAAGCGGUGGAGCAUGUGGUUUAAUUCGAUGAUACGCGAGGAACCUUACCAGGGCUUAAAUGGGAGUGGACAGCUUAGGAAACUAGGCCUUCUUCGGACCACUUUCAAGGUGCUGCAUGGUUGUCGUCAGCUCGUGCCGUGAGGUGUCAGGUUAAGUCCUAUAACGAGCGCAACCCCUGUCGUUAGUUGCCAGCGAGUGAUGUCGGGAACUCUAACGAGACUGCCGGUGUAAACCGUGAGGAAGGUGGGGAUGACGUCAAAUCAUCACGGCCCUUACGUCCUGGGCCACACACGUGCUACAAUGGCCAGUACAGAGAGCAGCCACUUAGCGAUAAGGAGCGAAUCUUCAAAACUGGUCUCAGUUCGGAUUGGAGUCUGCAACUCGACUCUAUGAAGCUGGAAUCGCUAGUAAUCGGAUAUCAGCCAUGAUCCGGUGAAUACGUUCCCGGGCCU